rnacentral:tRNA from 1 species
GGAGUGCUAGCUCAGCCGGGAGAGCAUCUGCCUUACAAGCAGAGGGUCGGGGGUUCGAUCCCCUCGCACUCCACCA